rnacentral:pre_miRNA from 2 species
UCACCUCUGCAGGCUGACUGGCCCUAGGCCUGGCUGGACGAGUAUCUCUUAGAAAGGCUCACCCUCAAGCACAACUAGGAGC